rnacentral:rRNA from 1 species
GACGAACGCUGGCGGCGUGCUUAACACAUGCAAGUCGAACGGUGAACGAGGGAGCUUGCUCCCUCCGGAUCAGUGGCGAACGGGUGAGUAACACGUGAGCAAUCUGCCCCGAACUCUGGGAUAAGCGUUGGAAACGACUUCUAAUACCGGAUACGACUCGGGAGGGCAUCCUCUCCGCGUGGAAAGAACUUCGGUUCGGGAUGAGCUCGCGGCCUAUCAGCUUGUUGGUGAGGUAACGGCUCACCAAGGCGACGACGGGUAGCCGGCCUGAGAGGGUGACCGGCCACACUGGGACUGAGACACGGCCCAGACUCCUACGGGAGGCAGCAGUGGGGAAUAUUGCACAAUGGGCGCAAGCCUGAUGCAGCAACGCCGCGUGAGGGACGACGGCCUUCGGGUUGUAAACCUCUUUUAGCAGGGAAGAAGCGAAAGUGACGGUACCUGCAGAAAAAGCACCGGCUAACUACGUG